GAAACUCCCAGAAGCAUUUCCAGGUAGUAUCUACACCACUGUUAUUCUAAUAUUAACAUGGAAUAAAAUAGAAACAGGUAGUUUUGCAAUUUGCGGUA